rnacentral:rRNA from 1 species
GGCUCAGGACGAACGCUGGCGGCGUGCCUAAUACAUGCAAGUCGAGCGGACUUGAUGGAGAGCUUGCUCUCCUGAUGGUUAGCGGCGGACGGGUGAGUAACACGUAGGCAACCUGCCUGCAAGACCGGGAUAACCCACGGAAACGUGAGCUAAUACCGGAUAUCUCAUUUCCUCUCCUGAGGRGAUGAUGAAAGACGGAGCAAUCUGUCACUUGCGGAUGGGCCUGCGGCGCAUUAGCUAGUUGGUGAGGUAACGGCUCACCAAGGCGACGAUGCGUAGCCGACCUGAGAGGGUGAACGGCCACACUGGGACUGAGACACGGCCCAGACUCCUACGGGAGGCAGCAGUAGGGAAUCUUCCGCAAUGGGCGAAAGCCUGACGGAGCAACGCCGCGUGAGUGAUGAAGGUUUUCGGAUCGUAAAGCUCUGUUGCCAGGGAAGAACGUCCGRUAGAGUAACUGCUAUCGGAGU